GUGAACGCUGGCGGUAGGCCUAACACAUGCCAGUCGCACGGCAGCACAGUAAGAGCUUGCUCUUACGGGUGGCGAGUGGCGGACGGGUGAGGAAUACAUCGGAAUCUACUUUUUCGUGGGGGAUAACGUAGGGAAACUUACGCUAAUACCGCAUACGACCUACGGGUGAAAGCAGGGGAUCUUCGGACCUUGCGCGAUUGAAUGAGCCGAUGUCGGAUUAGCUAGUUGGCGGGGUAAAGGCCCACCAAGGCGACGAUCCGUAGCUGGUCUGAGAGGAUGAUCAGCCACACUGGAACUGAGACACGGUCCAGACUCCUACGGGAGGCAGCAGUGGGGAAUAUUGGACAAUGGGCGCAAGCCUGAUCCAGCCAUACCGCGUGGGUGAAGAAGGCCUUCGGGUUGUAAAGCCCUUUUGUUGGGAAAGAAAAGCAGCAGGUUAAUACCCCGCUGUUCUGACGGUACCCAAAGAAUAAGCACCGGCGAACUUCGU
rnacentral:rRNA from 1 species